rnacentral:rRNA from 1 species
GCUUAGAUGUAAACCCAGGCAGCAUAACAUCCCACUGCCCGCCAGAGUACUACAAGCAAUUAAGGCUUAAAACUCAAAAGACUUGACGGCACUUCACCGCCCUAGAGGAGCCUGUCCUAUAAUCGAUAACCCACGCUAAACCCCACCUGCCCUCGCCCCAGCCAGCCUAUAUACCGCCGUCUCAAGCCCGCCUUACAAAAGACCAAACCACAGCGAGCCAACCAGCCUAACGCUAACACGUCAGGUCAAGGUGUAGCCAAUGGGCAGGAAGAGAUGGGCUACAUUUUCUAAUUCAGAAAACAACCCACAGUUAUAUGAAAUUGCACUAUAAAGGAGGAUUUAGUAGUAAGCCGAUCAAGACCUGGUCGACUGAACAACGCCCUGAAGUGAGU